rnacentral:lncRNA from 1 species
UAUUGAAUAUAUACUCCAGUAUUUUAAAGCAGGCAUCAUUUUAAUCCUGAAAGCAAUCUUAUUAAGAUGAUUGCUGUUAUUAUUAUCUUGAUUUUAUCCAUGAGGAAAUGGAGGCCAAGAGAUGUUAAAUAAAUUGCUCAAGGUCACAGAAUCUUUUAGUUAGAGAAUUGAAACUCGGGACUGGCCUGGAUGCUGCUAAACAAAAUGAUGGAGACAUGGGACAGUCAGGAUUGAUGAAGCUCAAGCAGUGAUGAGGGAAUUUCUUCGCAUUUCCAUAGCACAUGACCAGUUUCUGUCACAAAUGAGUAUUGGCUAGUAAAAUGGGUUGUCUCUGAAUUGUGCACUUUAAAAGGAAGAAUUUUGUAGUAUAUGAAUUACAUUUCAAUGUUUAAAAUAUUUUAGUAAGGGUUGGAAUGUACUGAAUUUUGGACAUUUUAGAGGUUCCAGGAGCUUCCCCUGUCCUUUGUUUAUAAAGACUUUGGUUUACAUUUACAUCAAUUCUUUAACCAUUCCACUUUCCUGAAGCUGCAUAUUGAGCAACAGCCAAGAUUUCCAGACCAAGAUUUCUCUCAUUUAAAUCAUCAACUAUAUGAAAACAAACUUAUGUUUACCAAAAGGGAAAGGGGGAGGAGAAAUAAAUUAGGAGUUUGGGAUUAACAUAUCCACACUACUAUAUAUAAAAGAGAUAAGCUACAAGGAACUACUGUAUUAGCACAGGGAACUAUAUUCAAUAUCUUGUAAUAACCUGUAACAGAAAACCAUCUGAACAAGAGCAUAUAUGUAUAUAUAUAACUGAAUCACUUUGCUGUACACCUAAAACUAACACAACAUUGUAAAUCAUCUAUAAUUUUAAAAAAAUUUUUUAAAAAGUCAUCAACUAUAUGCUACUGACCAGCUUCUAGGUGACGUAAGUCAGAAAAAGACAAAUAUUAUGUUAUCACUUAUAUGUGGAAUUUAAAACAUAAACUAGCAAAUACAACAAUAACAACAAAAAAAAAACAGACUCACAAAUCUAGAGAACAAAUGAGUGGUUAUCAGUGGGGAGAGGGGAGUGGGGAGAGACAAAAUAGCGGUAGGAGAUUAAGAGGUACAACCUACUAUGUAUAAAAUAAAUAAAUGACAAGGAUACCCUGUAUAACAUGGAACAGAGCCAAUAUUUUAUAAUAACUAAAUGGAGGAUAAUCUAUAAAAAAUUUGAAUCUCUAUAUUUUACCCUGGAAACUAAUAUAAUCUUGUAAGUCACAUAUACUUUGAUAAAAAUUUAAAAAACGGUUUUCAUCUUCAUGCAAAAUUUUCCUCCACUUCAAAGUAAAAACCUUUUGUCACAUCCUCAGAGAGUCUUUCCAGCCGCUAAUUUAUCUGGCAAGGAUGGGACACUAUAUUUGGAAGUCUGUUUGCGUUUAGUCAUCUUCUAAAUGAAUUUCAAGGUGCUGUUACGAUUUAAGUAGACAUUUUAUGGUUUAAAGUCUCAUAAUUUGGUAUUUUUUCAUACUCAUGUCCAGAAUCAAGACAGCAGUUUUCAAUCAGAGUGAAGUGCACAUACACACACACACUCAUACAAAAGCAUACACAUACACACUCACACUCGUACAUAUGCAUUUUGUGCACGCACACACACCCUUAUGUAUAUGACUCAUAAAUGGAUGUAUCAAGAGCAGAAAGUUAUUGAGCCAGUAUAUCUUCUGAAAGGAAACUGUUGUGUGUAUGUGUUUAAAGUAUAAGGAAAACCAGUUGCUUUCCUUUAUGUAGACUUAAUCAGGAUGAAAAGAUUUCAAUACAAAGCUGACAGGAGUUUCAAGUGUUCUAUUGGGUAGCUAUACACACAUCUGACAGAUUCUCUCCUGCUUUGCACUUUGAAAUGAGAACAGGAUGCUUCUGGAGGGCAGAGGGGAAAAAGGAGUGAGCAGGUUUGGAAGCAUUUGGGUCCAGAUUUUCUCUUCUUGUCCUUGGUGUAGGAAGUUCUUUCCCUCCUUUUCUAGGUGAUGUCUUCGCCCUGCAUUUCUAUUAUAUUUGCACCUUAAUUUGGAAUCUAGAUUUGUUAUUUCUUUCUUUAGUCAACAUUGUUAUCUACACAAAGCAAAAUACAUUAGGAGUUCCCUGGUGGCUCAGUGGGUUAAGGUUCUGGGGUUGUCACUACUGUGGUAAGGGUUCCAUCUGAUUCCUGGCCUGGGAACUUUCACAUGC